CGACUCAGCCUUCCUGAGCAUUUGGAUUCUGCUCCUCAUUCCAGACUGCCUGUAAGACGAGUCUCUCCUAUUGGUUGGCCUGAAGGGCGGUGAACACGGGUUCAACCUGAAACUGGUUGCAGCACAGGGCUAAUGCUCAGUGGCGGCUUGUUCCCCUGGAUAAUAUUUGCUGAUAAAGAACUCCCUUUGGUGCAUCCUGAACAAAGCCAAGCAGUAUCUCAGAAACAGAACCUUCAAUCUGCGUCUCCCACAAGCGAAAGGCUCAAAGUGAAGAAGCUCUGAGAUGUUGCUGCCUUCCAUGUCUGUUCUGAGGCUGAAGUGUACUACACUCAGAAAAAUCAGCCCUGGCGAACUUGGAGUGAUCUUCUUGACCUGUUGCCUGGAGGAGAAGCCUAAUGCAAGGGACUGGAGAAGUGUUGGAAGGAAAUCAAGAGUGCAUGGAGACUUUCUCACAGUCAAUUGCCGGAAGGACUCAAUUUGGACAUUACGUGACUUAUCUGGACAAUGUAUGACUUCAACUGGCAGAGGAGACUGGCUGGGGGGCCCCUGAGACUUGCCCAGUUUUCUCUGUGUUCUGUGCAGUAAGACCGGCAGUCCACACAGUGUAGAUUUACAAGUGUCCAGCAAAGACGUUACUAAGGGGAAAGCACUCCCCCGGGGAGCUUUGGGGGCACCCAUUCACGGUGUGCAUGCUGUGGCCCUCGGGAGAAAGUGUGUAGGGUUCCUACCACUUCUACCACUAUCUCUCUCUUCUUCAUUUUGGUGCAACUUUUUUCUUUUUAUUUUUUGGUGCAAAU